rnacentral:lncRNA from 1 species
UAAGCCCUUACAUAAUUGUCCAUAUUUUGAGGAACUUCUGGCAUCUCAUUUAAUUGUUCAUCCAUGAGUUUAAGGAACUGCAGGUUCUCUUUUGUAUAUAGUGACGGUUUACCCAAAAUGGUUCAUAUGCAUACGUCACUAUUCAUGUGAAUAGUACUAUUCAUCAAUUCAUGAAUACGUAUCUAUUCAUCUGCCAGUACAGUUAUCAUCAAUGUGUACGGCACUAUGAACCAAUACGGUACUGUUACAUCAUUAUCCUUAUUUACAUGUCAGGAAUCAAGGACCCUUAAGUCCGAUCACAUGUUUACAAAUACAGUACCGGAGAGACUGCCAGCUCUCAUAUUAAUAUCAUCAUCAAGGAUCUUCAAGUCCUGAUGUAAUUGUAUGAUGAGGAUCAAGGAACUUCUGGUCCUGAUCUGCAUACUGUAAAAACUCAUCAUACAGCACAUACAGCACAAUUAAAAUAAAUUGCUGGUAAAUAAAUUACUGGUAUGGACGAUAAACCCGCACCACACUUUAAAUUAAUGUAAAUGUGCGGUAAAAUAAAUUCAUAAAUUAAAUUGCUUGUUGUAUGGACGUUAAUCCCGCACCAUACCUUAAAUAAAAUUAAAUGUGCGGUAAAGUAAACGUGCUUGUAUGGGCACUAAUCCUGCUCCAUACAUUUAAAUAAAAGUAAAGGCGUGGACGAUAAACCCGCACCACCCUUUUAAAUAAAUGUAAAUGUGCGGUAAAUUAAAUUCAUAAAUUAAAUUGCUUGCUGUAUGGACGUUAAUCCCGCACCAUACCUUAAAUAAAAUUAAAUGUGCGGUAAAGUAAACGUACUUGUAUGGGCACUAAUCCUGCUCCAUACAUUUAAAUAAAAGCAAAGGCGUGGGCGAUAAACCCGCACCACCCUUUUAAAUAAAUACUGUUGUAUGGGUAAUAAACCUACACCAUACAGUAAAUAAAAUAAAUGUGCGGUAAAGUAAAUUUCAUAAAGUAUAAAUAAUAGUGCAGCACAAAAAUUAUACCUGAGAACUUCUCGUGCUGAUAACGUGUUAUAAAAUAACUGGGAUAUGUGCGAAUAUUGAGCUGCACGUAAAGUAGAUGAGACACAGUAUUUAACGAGGUUCGGCUAUGCCUACGUCCUCGGAGAGCAGCAGUAGUAACUUUUCCACUAUGUAAAAUAAUAGGGCUACAACUUUAGUGUUUACAAUAUAUGUGGCUCACUAAUUUUUCUCUCUUGGAGAAAUUUCUCUUCACUCUAUUUUUCUCUCUACUUACUCACCCUCUUUCUUCCUUCUCUUCAUUUCUUUCUUUCCUCACUCAUUCUUCU